ACUCCCUACGGGAGGCAGCAGUAGGGAAUCUUCCGCAAUGGGCGAAAGCCUGACGGAGCAACGCCGCGUGAGUGAUGAAGGUCUUCGGAUCGUAAAACUCUGUUAUCAGGGAAGAACAAAUGUGUAAGUAACUGUGCACAUCUUGACGGUACCUGAUCAGAAAGCCACGGCUAACUACGUGCCAGCAGCCGCGGUAAUACGUAGGUGGCAAGCGUUAUCCGGAAUUAUUGGGCGUAAAGCGCGCGUAGGCGGUUUUUUAAGUCUGAUGUGAAAGCCCACGGCUCAACCGUGGAGGGUCAUUGGAAACUGGAAAACUUGAGUGCAGAAGAGGAAAGUGGAAUUCCAUGUGUAGCGGUGAAAUGCGCAGAGAUAUGGAGGAACACCAGUGGCGAAGGCGACUUUCUGGUCUGUAACUGACGCUGAUGUGCGAAAGCGUGGGGAUCAAACAGGAUUAGAUACCCUGGUAGUCCACGCCGUAAACGAUGAGUGCU
rnacentral:rRNA from 1 species